rnacentral:rRNA from 1 species
AUACGGAGGGUGCAAGCGUUAUUCGGAAUCACUGGGCGAAAAGGACGCGUAGGCGGGUUGGCAAGUCAGAUGUGAAAUCCUACAGCUUAACUGUAGAACUGCAUUUGAAACUGCUAACCUAGAGUAUGGGAGGGGGAGAUGGAAUUAGUGGUGUAGGGGUAAAAUCCGUAGAUAUCACUAGGAAUACCGAAAGCGAAGGCGAUCUCCUGGAACAUAACUGACGCUAAGGCGUGAAAGCGUGGGGAGCAAACAGGAUUAGAAACCCUAGUAGUCC